rnacentral:rRNA from 1 species
CGUGUAGGCGGUUCGGUAAGUUGGAUGUGAAAGCUCCUGGCUUAACUGGGAGAGGUCGUUCAAUACUGCCGAGCUAGAGGAUGGUAGAGGGAGGUGGAAUUCCGAGUGUAGUGGUGAAAUGCGUAGAUAUUCGGAGGAACACCAGUGGCGAAAGCGGCCUCUUGGACCAUUUCUGACGCUCAGACGCGAAAGCUAGGGUAGCAAACG